UACGUAGGAGACGAGCGUUGUCCGGAAUUACUGGGCGUAAAGGGCGCGUAGGCGGCCCGCUAAGUCGAACGUGAAAUCCCUGGGCUCAACCCAGGAACUGCGUCCGAUACUGGCAGGCUUGAAUCCGGGAGAGGGAUGUGGAAUUCCAGGUGUAGCGGUGAAAUGCGUAGAUAUCUGGAGGAACACCGGUGGCGAAGGCGGCAUCCUGGACCGGUAUUGACGCUGAGUGCGCGAAAAGCCAGGGGGAGCCAAACGGG
rnacentral:rRNA from 1 species